rnacentral:tRNA from 1 species
UUUAGGGAGACCUACCCACUUGUUGAUUGAGAGGUUUCAGUCAUGAAUGCUAUCAUCGCAAGCUGGUCAUCCUAGGUCGUGCAUAGGGGAAUAGUUCAACAAGCUUUCAAACUAUAUUUAGGUUCGUAACUUCAGGCGUAGGGGCUAUUAGCUCAGGUGGUUAGAGCGCACCCCUGAUAAGGGUGAGGUCCCUGGUUCGAGUCCAGGAUGGCCCACCUGAAAAAAGAGCAUUGAUGUUCAAACAUUGAAUAAUCCGAAAAUCUUAAUCUGAAUUUUAGAUAGAUUGAGAUAGAUUAUUUAAGGGGGGGUUUAGCUCAGUUGGUAGAGCGCCUGCUUUGCAAGCAGGAUGUCAGCGGUUCGAGUCCGCUAACCUCCACAUUUGUUGAUUAGUCGAAAACUCAGAAAGUGAGACCAGGAACAGUUCUGGUUUAAUUUUUUGUUUCUUUGAUUGAUUAGCGUAAUAUGUAAGAUUGACUUGAGUACGACCUAGCACUGGUACAAAAGAAGUUACUAAUGUAUCAACUGCUGAGUGAAAGCUCAGUAAAAGAACCUUGAAAAUUGGAUAGAGAAAAGGCAGUACGACAGACAAAGACUAUGUUCUGAGUUUGGGGAUGUGAUGUUGAAAGAUGUUGCGUUCUAGAGCGAAGAAAGAAGUCGAGUUUGUAUAUGUUAUGUAGAGAAAGU